AUCCAGUUGACGAGUCUCAAAUAGGACGAAACGUGAGUCAAACUGGAU
rnacentral:hammerhead_ribozyme from 1 species